rnacentral:tRNA from 1 species
GGAUGGGUAGGCUCAGUGGUUAGAGCUUGGGGCUUGUGAUCGCGAGGUCCCGGGUUCGAUCCCGCCAGAGGCA